GUGACGCGUUCACUUCCAUUCCUGAGAGCCCUUGAUGUGAUGGCGACGGCAUUCCGCCGGAGACCUCUUUCUACCGCCAAUCUCUCCUGGAUGGCACGUCGCCGCGUUUCCGUCCGACCGGACAUGCCCCUCUGGGGGCCCUCGGGCCUCGACGCCCUUCUACGCCCGACGAACCUCAUUGUGUCGCCGAUUCCAGAUGCAGCGUCGGCGGAGGCGACGCCGAAUCUCAACGGACUGGGGAGACGUCUUUCGCCGGAUCAUCCGUGGCGAAUCCCUCCGCAUUCGAGCUAUAACUUUGCCUUCUCAUCCUUUGAUUCAUUCAAUUUGCUUGUCAACGAUGGAUUAGAGCAGGUCAAGUAAUAUUUCAUGUUAGUAGUGAAUUUAAGUUCAGGAGAUGGUUUCAAAUACCAGUGGCUGUAUGCUACCUUCUUUAAUCUAUGCCUGCUGCAGACUCAUCUUCACAUAAUUCCUUGGAAGCCUGGGGACCAGCUAUGGCCUUUUGAGGAGGUUCAGAGUUUCCAAUGGCUUUGCAGCCUCUAGAUUAUGAUGAGACACAUCUUGCAAUGGCAGCGAGUGCAGGUAGUUGCAAUUUGGACAGUGUGGUGAAGAUUUGAACAUCAUGACGAGAAGAUGGCAAUGAACACAGACUAAUGCCACCAUGUUGCUACUUGAACUGCAUUGCUUCUUCAUUUCCUGAGCUGUGUAUGUUGUCUUUCCUUCUGAGAAUGGAAACACUGAGAUGUUAAGAUCCAAGUCCAUGCUUCGCUCUUUUGGCCUCAUCCAUCUUUUUUUCAUGGUCCUCCUGUUCAGUGGCAGGGGAUCAUCGAGCUGGAGGUCAAUGUUACCACUCUGGUUCACUGGAUUACUCCAUAUUGAUUGUUGCUUCCUCUUCGUCGUGGAAAUUGGAUCUGUUUCCUCAGUCGAGAUUGACUGAGGCUGGCCAAGAGAAAGCUCCGUGUGUUCCAUAGCCGCCUGUUUGAUACUGGUGGAGAAAAGCUAAAGAGUUUAUUGUCAAAGAGAAGCUGAUGAAAAAGCCAUGAGUUUAUGGCAGAGUGAAGGUCUUCAUCUAAGAAGUGACAAAGCGAUCAAAGGUAGAUCUAAUCUGUCCACAAUGAUCAUCACGUCGAGUUCUCUCGAGGCAUGACUAGGAGACUAGAGAUUAAAAAAGAAAAGAAAAAAAAAAAAAUAGAAACCACCACCCAAUUCGACAAGGAGACUUGUCGAGUGUGAUUGGGUCAUUAAAUGCCCAAAAAAUAAAAAGGUUCUUCAAAUGGAAAAUAAGUGAAAAUGUGAUUGCAACUUGUGUCGACAUAUGAGGGCGGUCAAUUAGCAUAUUCUGGAUUAUUGUGCCAUUCUUUGAUUUCCCUUAUAUUCUGUCACAUUUGAGUUUAUCUGAGAAGAGAGACAUCAAUCAAUUCCAGCACAUGAAAACAGUGAGAGAGAUUGGAUAAAUGCAUGGAAGAUUUGUUCAUUCUACAUGAGCAGAACCUGCGGAUACGAUGCUGAUAGAAGUUUGUUUAUCAGACAAAGUUGAUGAAAGAGUAUUUCAAAGAUUCUUGUGAGGUGAAGGAUCACAUCGUGGAGCUUGCAACGUAGGCAAUUCUACAACCAUCAAAUAUAUUCCCCAAUUAUUCAUCUCUAUCUCUCCCAUGGCUGCCAAACUCAAGCUGAAUUUUUCUUUUCUUCUGGGACAAUGACAAGAUCAGUGCUGCAGUAAAUGAGGUUUUGCACAUGGCGUGGGAGUCAGUUGCGAGGAAGGAAGAACAGCAUCUCCUCGCUCAUACGUCAACAGGUGAGGAAAAGGUUGGGGACAAUUGUUUAUGGCAGUGGAGUUCACCAAACAAUUGGUGGCCAAAUGAUGCACAAAUAAUUGAAUGAGAGAUGUCAGAUGGAAGGAAGGACGCACGCCGUGCAAGGGAGAAUCCCACCACUCGGCUCCUUUUUUCUUCUGCGGAUUCAUAAACAAAUGUAGUGAUGAAGAAUAAAGGAGAUGAUUGCAUGGGGAUGUGUCAUUGGGCACUGCCAGGAUAACAAUAGUCAAAAAGGUGGCAAAAAAGCCUUAUGUCGCUGGUUUGGAUGAGAGAUUUGGAUCUGAUACAACUAAUCGAGGUUAGUGGCUCUUUUGCUCUGUAGUUUAUUUUUUUGCUAAUGGUGAUUAGAUGCGUAUAGGCAUUUGAUAGGCUAUGAAAGGGACACUGAAACUGCAAUAGUGUCAGAUGAAAAAAGUAAUUAGUUAAUAUAGGUGAAGUUCGUUUCAUCUUCAAAAGAAAAAUAAGAAGAUGAAAAAUUCAGCUGAUUAUGCAGUGCUGAUGGUGCAAAUCCUAUCUAUGAUAUGCUUGGAAUAUACGGCGUGCGAGAAAGAAAAGAGGAUUCAUAUGAUGGAGCAGGGGGAUCGUAUUCCUUAGGAUUUUAUGCAUGACUUGCACUGUAGUGUGGAGGACAAGGUUCUUCCAUGCUUUCUCCCAUUGUUAAUGGGAAAUACAUGGGUGCUUGGAGGACUAAUGAUAGAAAAAGUGGCAAUAUAUUCUCCAAUAACGUUUCAUUUUGACUCAGAUUGUGAUUCUCCAAAUAAUGCUCGUUAAAGUGAUGCAAUGCGCAAUGGGCUUGCGGAUAUUUGGCACCGAACAAGUAUGACUUGCCUGUUAUGAACGAGAUAUGAAUUAAGGUGACAGCAACCUACUCACUGUGGUAUCAGAGGCAAUAAAAUAGUGUUUCUGAAAAUUAGGAAUGGCACACUAAGACGAAAGCAAAGGUUAGAGAUGAUAUAAAGAAGAGAACAAACUUCAGGAGAAGGGGGAGUUUGGUGAUCUUUUCACUAGAUUUAAUUAUAAUGAGAACUUAUGCAUGAUAUAGAUCAUGGUCACACAAUUUGAGAACC